rnacentral:rRNA from 1 species
GCAGUCGACGGCAGCACGGGUGCUUGCACCUGGUGGCGAGUGGCGAACGGGUGAGUAAUAUAUCGGAACAUGUCCGGAAGUGGGGGAUAACGUAGCGAAAGUUACGCUAAUACCGCAUAUGCCCUGAGGGGGAAAGGAGGGGAUCGCAAGACCUUUCGCUUUCGGAGUGGCCGAUAUCGGAUUAGCUGGUUGGUGAGGUAAAGGCUCACCAAGGCGACGAUCCGUAGCUGGUCUGAGAGGACGACCAGCCACACUGGGACUGAGACACGGCCCAGACUCCUACGGGAGGCAGCAGUGGGGAAUUUUGGACAAUGGGCGCAAGCCUGAUCCAGCCAUGCCGCGUGAGUGAAGAAGGCCUUCGGGUUGUAAAGCUCUUUCGGACAGAAAGAAAUCCUAUCCGUUAAUACCGGGUGGGGAUGACGGUACUGUAAGAAGAAGCACCGGCUAACUACGUGCCAGCAGCCACGGUAAUACGUAGGGUGCGAGCGUUAAUCGGAAUUACUGGGCGUAAAGCGUGCGCAGGCGGUUUUGUAAGACAGGCGUGAAAUCCCCGGGCUUAACCUGGGAACUGCGCUUGUGACUGCAAGACUGGAGUGUGGCAGAGGGGGGUAGAAUUCCACGUGUAGCAGUGAAAUGCGUAGAGAUGUGGAGGAA